GACGAACGCUGGCGGCGUGCUUAACACAUGCAAGUCGAACGGAAAGGCCCUGCUUUUGUGGGGUGCUCGAGUGGCGAACGGGUGAGUAACACGUGAGUAACCUGCCCUUGACUUUGGGAUAACUUCAGGAAACUGGGGCUAAUACCGGAUAGGAGCUCCUGCUGCAUGGUGGGGGUUGGAAAGUUUCGGCGGUUGGGGAUGGACUCGCGGCUUAUCAGCUUGUUGGUGGGGUAGUGGCUUACCAAGGGUUUGACGGGUAGCCGGCCUGAGAGGGUGACCGGCGACAUUGGGACUGAGAUACGGCGCAGAGUCGUACGGGAGGCAGCAGUGGGGAGUAUUGUACAAUGGGCGGAAGCCUGAUGCGGCAGCGCCGCGUGCGGGAUGACGGCCUUCGGGGUGUAAACCGCAUUCGGCUGAGACGAAGCGGUAGUGACGGUAAUGGGUAAAGAAGCACCGGCUAACUACGUG
rnacentral:rRNA from 1 species